rnacentral:lncRNA from 1 species
AGCCAUAAAGCAGACUGUUGUGAGGAAUAAACAAGUGAUAAGAAGACACCUGGCCCGUCUUCAGGCUGUAGAUUCUGAAAUAUGAAUGAAGGGAUGUGAAAGUGAUGGGCUCUAUCCUUACACCCAGCCCCAGUGGGAGCCUGGGCAGGGAGUGGGAGGAUGAGAAACGUCUUCAUUUUACACAACAAAGUGCUUCUCCAAGGUGGGUUAUUGCUGAGUUGUCUGCCUCCAACUUUCCUAAGGUGAUUGUUUAAAAUAUGGAUUCCUGGGCAGCUUCUGUACCUACUGUAUCUGUCAACAUUUCUGGAGGAUAGGGCUUUGUGAUUUGCAUUUUAUUUUAUUUUUGUAUUGAAGUAUAGUUGAUUUACAAUGUUAUGUUAAUUUCUGCUGUGAUUCAAUUAUGCAUAUAUGGUUAUAUAUAUACGCUCUUAAAAUAUUCUUUUCCAUUAUGGUUUAUCAAAGGACAUUAAAUACAGUUCUCUGUGCUAUACAGUAAGACCUUGUUGAUUAACCCAUUCAUGUAUAAUAGCUUAAACUUCUAACCCCAACCUCUCAGUCCGUCCCUCCCACAACUCCCUCCCCCUAGGCAACCACAAGUUUUUUUUUGCUACAUCAAUGAGUCUCUUUCUGAUUCACAGAUAGGUUCUUUUCUGUCAUUUCUUAGAUUCUACAGAUAAGUGAUAUCAUAUAUUUGUCUUUCUCUUGCUGACUCGCUUAAUAUGAGCCCUCUAGUUGUAUCCAUGUUACUGUGAAUGGCAUUCUUUCUUUUUUAUGGCUGAGUAGUAUUCCCUUGUAUAUAUAUUAUACAUCUUUAUGUGAUCUGAAUUUUUUUUUUGUCUUUUUAGGCCCACACUCGAGGCAUAUGGAGGUUCCCAGCCUAGGGGUCCAAUCAGAGCUGUAGCUGCCAGCCUACACCAUAGCCACAGCAACAUGGGAUCCAAGCUGCAUCUGCAACCUACACCACAGUUCACAGCAAUGCCAGAUCCAUAACCCACUGACUGGGGCCAGAGAUCAAAACCGAGUUCUCAUGGAUGCUAGUUGGGUUCGUUAAUCACUGAGCCACGACGUAAACUCCUAUGAUCUGAAUUUUAAAUCAACCAGAUGUGGAGUUCCCCUUGUGGCUCAGCAGAAACAAACCCGACUAGUACCCAUGAGGAUUCAGGUUCAAUCCCUGGCCCUAUCAAUGGGUUCAGGAUCCAGCAUUGCUGAGAGCUGUGGUAUAGGUUGUAGACGUGGCUUGGAUCUGGUGUUGCUGUGGCUGUGGCAUAGGCUGGCAGUUGAAGCUCUAAUUCAACCCCUAACCUGGGAACUUCCAUAUGCUGAGAGUUCAGCCCUAAAAAAAAAAAAAAA